CGAAACGCGACAUCAAAUUUCAGCAACUUCCACGAUGGUAUCGGCACGGAUGUUCGUAGGAUCUUCCAAAUCAGAUUCGUGAAAUCUGAUGUUUCCCUUCCAUCAAGCGUAUGCUGCCCCCUCCAGCAUCUUAGCAGUCUUUCAAGCCACAACAGCCUCAACCGUUCUGUAAGGCAACCAAAAUUGGUCCAAGGUCUUUCUGGCUGACGACCUCGUGACGACCUUCAACAUUCUUGCGAGAGUUGAGACGCAGGUAUGAGUGAUAGAC